GUGUCAGCAGCCGCGGUAAGACGUAGGGGGCCAGCGUUGUUCGGAAUUACUGGGCGUAAAGGGUGUGUAGGCGGCUGGAUAAGUCUGGCGUGAAAUCUUCACCGCUUAACGGGAAGUGGUCGCUGGAAACUGUUCAGCUUGAGUAUGGUAGAGGCAAACGGAAUUCCUGGUGUAGCGGUGGAAUGUGUAGAUAUCAGGAAGAACACCGGUGGCGAAGGCGGUUUGCUGGGCCAUCACUGACGCUGAGACACGAAAGCGUGGGGAGCAAACGGGAUUAGAUACCCCUGUAGUCC
rnacentral:rRNA from 1 species